AUCGUCUCUCGGCCUUUUGGCUAAGAUCAAGUGUAGAAUCUGUUUAGUAACUCAAACAUAUGAACCCCAUGUCAUAAACAUGUUUUUAGUGACUCCAU
rnacentral:snRNA from 1 species